UACAGAGGUCUCAAGCGUUGUUCGGAUUCAUUGGGCGUAAAGGGUGUGUAGGUGGCGCGCUAAAGUCGGGUGUGAAAUUUCGGAGCUUAACUCCGAAACUGCAUUCGAUAACUGGCGUGCUUGAGGACUGGAGAGGAGACUGGAAUUUACGGUGAGCAGUGAAAUGCGUAGAUAUCGUAAGGAAGACCAGUGGCGAAAGGCGGGUCUCUGGA
rnacentral:rRNA from 1 species